rnacentral:rRNA from 1 species
UACGUAGGAGGCAAGCGUUGUCCGGAUUUAUUGGGCGUAAAGAGCGUGUAGGCGGCCUGAAAGGUCAGCUGUGAAAACUCGAGGCUCAACCUCGAGACGUCGGUUGAAACCAUCUGGCUAGAGUCCGGAAGAGGAGUGUGGAAUUCCCGGUGUAGCGGUGAAAUGCGCAGAUAUCAGGAAGAACACCCGUGGCUAAGGCGGCUCUCUAGUACGGUACUGACGCUGAGACGCGAAAGCGUGGGGAGCGAACAGG